GGACAACCUGCCCAAAGGUCCGGGAUAACCCCGGGAAACUGGGGAUAAUACCGGAUAAGUCACAACUACUGGAAUUGGUGUUGUGGUUGAAACUUCCGGGGCCUUUGGAUGGGUCUGCGGCGGAUUAGGUUGUUGCCGGUGUAACGUACCGUCAAGCCUGUAAUCCGUACGGGUUGUGGGAGCAAGAGCUCGGAGAUGGAUUCUGAGACACGAAUCCAGGCCCUACGGGGCGCAGCAGGCGCGAAAACUCUACAAUGCAGGCAACUGCGAUAGGGGAACAUCGAGUGAUACUCAUAUUGGGUGUCUGUCCACCCGUCUAAAAAACGGGUGUUAGCAAGGGCCGGGCAAGACCGGUGCCAGCCGCCGCGGUAAUACCGGCGGCUCGAGUGGUGGCCGAUAUUAUUGAGUCUAAAGGGUCCGUAGCCGGCUUUGCAAGUCUUUUGGGAAAUCCAGCGGCUUAACCGUUGGGCGGCCAGGAGAUACUACAUUGCUUGGGACUGGGAGAGGUAGGAGGUACUCAGGGGGUAGGAGUGAAAUCCUGCAAUCCUUUGGGGACCACCGGUGGCGAAGGCGUCCUACCAGAACAGGUCCGACGGUGAGGGACGAAAGCUAGGGGCACGAACCGGAUUAGAUACCCGGGUAGUCCUAGCCGUAAACGAUGCUCGCUAGGUGUCACAACAAUCGUGAAUUGUUGUGGUGCCGUAGGGAAGCCGUGAAGCGAGCCACUUGGGAAGUACGACCGCAAGGUUGAAACUUAA
rnacentral:rRNA from 1 species